GAACCGUUUAGAAAAUGUGCCUGAGUGGGUAUGUGAAAGCCGAAAGCUAGAAGUUUUGGAUAUUGGCUAUAAUCAAAUAUGUGAACUUCCUGCCCGCUUAUUUUGUAAUAGCAGUCUCCGGAAACUACUGGCAGGACACAACCAGUUGGCAAGGCUGCCUGAAAGGCUAGAAAGAACCUCAGUGGAGGUCUUGGAUGUGCAACACAACCAGCUCCUUGAGCUCCCGCCUAACCUUCUGAUGAAGGCUGACAGCCUGAGAUUCCUGAAUGCAUCUGCGAACAAAUUGGAAAGCCUUCCUCCAGCCACGCUUUCCGAAGAGACAAACAGUAUCUUACAAGAGUUGUAUUUGACAAAUAACAGCCUCACAGACAAAUGUGUGCCCUUGUUAACGGGACACCCCCAUUUGAAGAUCCUUCACAUGGCCUAUAACCGACUUCAGAGUUUU
rnacentral:sRNA from 1 species